AUACUCGCAAGGAUCCUCAGGGAGAGAAAACUUAUUAAUCUGGGGGUGGGGGAAUUAAAAAAUCAAGACACGUCGUAACCUGGAAGUCUUUCCAAAGGGGAUGGGCAUGACCCCAACACGUUCAAUAAGAAAAUAUAUAUAUUUGCCUUUCCUGAUCAUGGGAGACCUUUGGAACAGGAACAAAACAGGAAUGAAACCAACCCACCGUUAGGAAUUAACUUUUGUUUUUGUUUUGCUCUGGACAGGGCAGCUUUUGGAACGCAUCAGAUGGGGAGUGGACCCUUCUGAAUCUUCCAUCACUAUCACUUGGCUGCUUUUGGGAUGCCGUGAAUGCAACUCAGGUGAUUUUCUCUCUCUCCAAAUUUCCUAAUUGGGAAUUCAUCCUUUAAAUCACUGCACUUCAGUCAAGGCUUCAGUCAAAACAGAAUAUUCAGUAAAUGGAUCAACAGCCCACUUCUCUGGAAAUCCUUAUUGUUGGAAGAAAUAUCUAGGUCCAGUUCCAAGCGGGGAGAAAGGCACUGGAGAUAAAAGUCCAAUUGGAAAAAAAGGGUCUCUUUAUUGAUGAAGCAGAACCAUCAACCACAUAUGAUUCUGGGCAGUUGACAAAAUGGAGUUGAGAAUGGGCAAGUGAUGGUCCAAUCUCGUUUUAAAAACCUCCCGUGAGGGAGCCCCCACAACUUCAGAAGAGUCUCCACAUCUUUUCUACAUUGUGUUGACCAAAAGUGAAGUGUGGCCUUACCAAGGCAUUAUAAUCAGUGGAUGAUUUGGACCAGUUUGACUGAACCAGUAGUGGUUUGAUGGCCUGGGUCGCUGGAACUGGCAGUAACCCAGGCCGGCCACGCCCCCGAACCAGUUAUCCCGGCGAUGCCGUAGGCACCAGCAUCUUGUUUUUGCUUCUGUGCAUGUGCAGAACAAUUUUUAUUGCACAUGGCAUGCCCAUGAGCGAACCUUCAGUAGCGACUGUCGGAACCCACCCCUGAUUAUAAAGUGGUAUUAACCCUUCA